GACGAACGCUGGCGGCGUGCUUAACACAUGCAAGUCGAACGGAAAGGCCCUGCUUGCAGGGUACUCGAGUGGCGAACGGGUGAGUAACACGUGGGUGAUCUGCCCUGCACUUCGGGAUAAGCCUGGGCAACUGGGUCUAAUACCUGAUAGGAGCCAUUUUUAGUGUGAUGGUUGGAAAGUUUUUUCGGUGUAGGAUGAGCUCGCGGCCUAUCAGCUUGUUGGUGGGGUAAUGGCCUACCAAGGCGGCGACGGGUAGCCGGCCUGAGAGUGUGGACGGCCACAUUGGGACCGAGGUGAGGCACAGGCUCGUAAGGGAGGAAGAAGGGGGGAAUAUUGCACCAUGGGCGCAAGGCUGAUGCAGAGAGGCCGCGUGGGGGAUGACGGUCUUCGGGUUGUAAACUACUUUCGCUAGGGACGAAGCUUUUUGUGACGGUACCUAGAUAAGAAGCACCGGCUAACUACGUG
rnacentral:rRNA from 1 species